rnacentral:rRNA from 1 species
GAUGAACGCUAGCUACAGGCUUAACACAUGCAAGUCGAGGGGCAGCAUGGUCUUAGCUUGCUAAGGCCGAUGGCGACCGGCGCACGGGUGAGUAACACGUAUCCAACCUGCCGUCUACUCUUGGACAGCCUUCUGAAAGGAAGAUUAAUACAAGAUGGCAUCAUGAGUCCGCAUGUUCACAUGAUUAAAGGUAUUCCGGUAGACGAUGGGGAUGCGUUCCAUUAGAUAGUAGGCGGGGUAACGGCCCACCUAGUCUUCGAUGGAUAGGGGUUCUGAGAGGAAGGUCCCCCACAUUGGAACUGAGACACGGUCCAAACUCCUACGGGAGGCAGCAGUGAGGAAUAUUGGUCAAUGGGCGCAGGCCUGAACCAGCCAAGUAGCGUGAAGGAGGACUGCCCUAUGGGUUGUAAACUUCUUUUAUAAAGGAAUAAAGUCGGGUAUGUAUACCCGUUUGCAUGUACUUGAUGAAUAAGGAUCGGCUAACUCCGUG